UAUUUAGGUGGGCACUAUAGAAUACUCAAGCUAUGCAUCCAACGCGUUGGGAGCUCUCCCAUAUGGUCGACCUGCAGGCGGCCGCACUAGUGAUUCCUACGGGAGGCAGCAGUGGGGAAUAUUGCACAAUGGGCGCAAGCCUGAUGCAGCCAUGCCGCGUGUGUGAAGAAGGCCUUCGGGUUGUAAAGCACUUUCAGCGGGGAGGAAGGCGGUGAGGUUAAUAACCUCACCGAUUGACGUUACCCGCAGAAGAAGCACCGGCUAACUCCGUGCCAGCAGCCGCGGUAAUAAUCCCGCGGCCAUGGCGGCCGGGAGCAUGCGACGUCGGGCCCAAUUCGCCCUAUAGUGGAUCGUAUUAA
rnacentral:rRNA from 1 species